rnacentral:rRNA from 1 species
GUAGGGAAUAUUGGGCAAUGGAGGCAACUCUGACCCAGCCAUGCCGCGUGCAGGAUGACGGCCCUCUGGGUUGUAAACUGCUUUUAUACGGGAAGAAAAAAUACUACGUGUAGUAUACUGACGGUACCGUAAGAAUAAGGAUCGGCUAACUCCGUGCCAGCAGCCGCGGUAAUACGGAGGAUCCAAGCGUUGUCCGGAUUUAUUGGGUUUAUAGGGUGCGUAGGCGGAUCUUUAAGUCAGUGGUGAAAGCCUGCAGCUUAACUGUAGAAUUGCCAUUGAAACUGACGAUCUUGAAUGUGGUUAAAGUAGGCGGAAUGUAUCAUGUAGCGGUGAAAUGCUUAGAUAUGAUACAGAACACCGAUAGCGAAGGCAGCUUGCUGAACCAUUAUUGACGCUGAGGCACGAAAGCGUGGGGAGCGAACAGGAUUAGAAACCCCUGUAGUCC